rnacentral:rRNA from 1 species
AUUGAACGCUGGCGGCAGGCCUAACACAUGCAAGUCGAGCGGUUGAAGGGAGCUUGCUCCCUGAUUCAGCGGCGGACGGGUGAGUAAUGCCUAGGAAUCUGCCUAUUAGUGGGGGACAACGUUUCGAAAGGAACGCUAAUACCGCAUACGUCCUACGGGAGAAAGCAGGGGACCUUCGGGCCUUGCGCUAAUAGAUGAGCCUAGGUCGGAUUAGCUAGUUGGUGAGGUAAUGGCUCACCAGGGCGACGAUCCGUAACUGGUCUGAGAGGAUGAUCAGUCACACUGGAACUGAGACACGGUCCAGACUCCUACGGGAGGCAGCAGUGGGGAAUAUUGGACAAUGGGCGAAAGCCUGAUCCAGCCAUGCCGCGUGUGUGAAGAAGGUCUUCGGAUUGUAAAGCACUUUAAGUUGGGAGGAAGGGUUGUAGAUUAAUACUCUGCAAUUUUGACGUUACCGACAGAAUAAGCACCGGCUAACUCUGUGCCAGCAGCCGCGGUAAGAC